AUACUUACCAGGAGGGGGAGAUACUGUGACCACCAAGGUGGUUUUCCCAGGGCAAGGCUCAUCCAUUGCACUGCAGACCUGAGAUUUCCCUGAGAUCCCUGAGAUUUCCCCCAAUGUGGGAAACUCGAUUGCAUAAUUUGUGGUAGUGGGGGACUGUGUCCCUG